GCCUGGAGAGCUCAGCCAGUAGAGCAUCAGACUUUUAUUCUGAGGGUUCAGGGUUUAAGCCCCUGUCCAGGCG